rnacentral:misc_RNA from 1 species
UCCGAGUUGACCCCGGCAGUCUCCUAUGAGUCCCCACCAUUACGUGCUGGCAACAUAGGACGAGGGUUGCGCUCGUUGCGGGACUUAACCCAACAUCUCACGACACGAGCUGACGACAGCCAUGCACCACCUGUAUACCGACAAAAGGGGCUCUAUCUCUAGAGCUUUCCGGCAUAUGUCAAACCCAGGUAAGGUGGGGAUGACGUCAAGGUACGGAC